GGGAAUAUAACUCAAGUAGAGUUAUUGCCUCUUUGCAAGUGAUCUGGGUUCAAAUCCUAACAUUUCCU
rnacentral:tRNA from 1 species